GGACAUCACUCAGUUAAAAACAAGAGCAGAGAAUUCUAAGCCACUCUUGCAGGUGAUCAUGGGUGUGUGUUCCUGCUCCAGCACCAAGUUCAGGCCAAGCCAGAAAUACUUUUGAUUCCCGUCCUUCCCAAUGUGCCUCUCUCAGGCAGAGCUGGAAUUACAACAUCAAAUGACUGGAUAUUACUUGUCAACAUGCAGCUGCAAUAAACCAGCAGUGCUAAUUUUC